rnacentral:rRNA from 1 species
GAUGAACGCUGGCGGCGUGCCUAAUACAUGCAAGUCGAACGAAGAUCUAGCUUGCUAGAUCUUAGUGGCGAACGGGUGAGUAAUACAUAAAUAAUCUGCCCAUAUGACUGGGAUAACUAUUGGAAACGAUAGCUAAUACCGGAUAGGUUGAUUGGAGGCAUCUCUGAUUAAUUAAAGUAGGAUUUCAACACAAAUGGAUGAGUUUAUGGCGCAUUAGUUAGUUGGUGGGGUAACGGCCUACCAAGACGAUGAUGCGUAGCCGACCUGAGAGGGUGACCGGCCACACUGGGACUGAGACACGGCCCAGACUCCUACGGGAGGCAGCAGUAGGGAAUUUUCGGCAAUGGGCGCAAGCCUGACCGAGCAACGCCGCGUGAGUGAUUAAGGCCUUCGGGUUGUAAAGCUCUGUUGUAAGGGAAGAACAUUCAGGAUAGGAAAUGAUCUUGAACUGACGGUACCUUACCAGAAAGCCACGGCUAACUUCGUGCCAGCCGCCGCCGUAAGAC